rnacentral:rRNA from 1 species
UACGAAGGGGAGCUAGCGUUGCUCGGAAUCACUGGGCGUAAAGCGCACGUAGGCGGACUCUUAAGUCGGUGGUGAAAUCCGUGGAGCUCAACUCCAGAACUGCCUUCGAUACUGAGAGUCUCGAGUCCGGGAGAGGUGAGUGGGGAACGUGUCGAGUGUAGAGGUGAAAUUCGAUAGAUAUUCGCAAGAACGACCAAGUGGCCGA